rnacentral:tRNA from 3 species
GUCUCCAUAGCUCAGCUGGAUAGAGCAACGCCCUUCUAAGGCGUGGGUCCGGGGUUCGAAUCCCUGUGGGGACGCUA